rnacentral:rRNA from 1 species
UGGGGAAUAUUGCACAAUGGGCGCAAGCCUGAUGCAGCAACGCCGCGUGAGGGACGACGGCCUUCGGGUUGUAAACCUCUUUUGGCAGGGAAGAAGCGAAAGUGACGGUACCUGCAGAAAAAGCACCGGCUAACUACGUGCCAGCAGCCGCGGUGAUACGUAGGGUGCAAGCGUUGUCCGGAAUUAUUGGGCGUAAAGAGCUCGUAGGCGGUUUGUCGCGUCUGCUGUGAAAACCCGAGGCUCAACCUCGGGCCUGCAGUGGGUACGGGCAAACUAGAGUGCGGUAGGGGAGAUUGGAAUUCCUGGUGUAGCGGUGGAAUGCGCAGAUAUCAGGAGGAACACCCAUGUCGAAGGCAGAUCUCUGGGCCGUAACUGACGCUGAGGAGCGAAAGCAUGGGGAGCGAACA